GGGUUGUGAGGUUAAGCGACUAAGCGUACACGGUGGAUGCCUAGGCAGUCAGAGGCGAUGAAGGGCGUGCUAAUCUGCGAUAAGCGUCGGUAAGCUGAUAUGAAGCGUUAUACCCGACGAUACCCGAAUGGGGAAACCCAGUGUGUUUCGACACACUAUCAUGACAUGAAUACAUAGUGUCAUGAGGCGAACCGGGGGAACUGAAACAUCUCAGUACCCCGAGGAAAAGAAAUCAACCGAGAUUCCCCCAGUAGCGGCGAGCGAACGGGGAGGAGCCCAGAACCUGAAUCAGUUUGUGUGUUAGUGGAAGCGUCUGGAAAGUCGCACAGUAAAGGGUGAUAGUCCCGUACACAAAAAUGCACAAGCUGUGAGUUCGAUGAGUAGGGCGGGACACGUGACAUCCUGUCUGAAUAUGGGGGGACCAUCCUCCAAGGCUAAAUACUCCUGACUGACCGAUAGUGAACCAGUACCGUGAGGGAAAGGCGAAAAGAACCCCGGCGAGGGGAGUGAAAUAGAACCUGAAACCGUGUACGUACAAGCAGUGGGAGCCUACUUGUUAGGUGACUGCGUACCUUUUGUAUAAUGGGUCAGCGACUUAUAUUCUGUAGCAAGGUUAACCGUAUAGGGGAGCCGCAGGGAAACCGAGUCUUAACUGGGCGUUAAGUUGCAGGGUAUAGACCCGAAACCCGGUGAUCUAGCCAUGGGCAGGUUGAAGGUUGGGUAACACUAACUGGAGGACCGAACCGACUAAUGUUGAAAAAUUAGCGGAUGACUUGUGGCUGGGGGUGAAAGGCCAAUCAAACCGGGAGAUAGCUGGUUCUCCCCGAAAGCUAUUUAGGUAGCGCCUCGUGAAUUCAUCUUCGGGGGUAGAGCACUGUUUCGGCUAGGGGGUCAUCCCGACUUACCAACCCGAUGCAAACUACGAAUACCGAAGAAUGUUAUCACGGGAGACACACGGCGGGUGCUAACGUUCGUCGUGAAGAGGGAAACAACCCAGACCGCCAGCUAAGGUCCCAAAGUCAUGGUUAAGUGGGAAACGAUGUGGGAAGGCACAGACAGCCAGGAUGUUGGCUUAGAAGCAGCCAUCAUUUAAAGAAAGCGUAAUAGCUCACUGGUCGAGUCGGCCUGCGCGGAAGAUGUAACGGGGCUAAACCAUGCACCGAAGCUGCGGCAGCGACACUUAGGUGUUGUUGGGUAGGGGAGCGUUCUGUAAGCCGUCGAAGGUGGCCUGUGAGGGCUGCUGGAGGUAUCAGAAGUGCGAAUGCUGACAUAAGUAACGAUAAUGCGGGUGAAAAACCCGCACGCCGGAAGACCAAGGGUUCCUGUCCAACGUUAAUCGGGGCAGGGUGAGUCGACCCCUAAGGCGAGGCUGAAAAGCGUAGUCGAUGGGAAACAGGUUAAUAUUCCUGUACUCGGUGUUACUGCGAAGGGGGGACGGAGAAAGCUAGGUUAUCCGGGCGACGGUUGUCCCGGUUUAAGCGUGAAGGUGGAUGACUUUGGUAAAUCCGGGUCGUCAUUAACACUGAGGCGUGAUGACGAGUCACUACGGUGAUGAAGUAACUAAUGCUACGCUUCCAGGAAAAGCCUCUAAGCUCCAGGUAACAUCAAAUCGUACCCCAAACCGACACAGGUGGUCAGGUAGAGAAUACUCAGGCGCUUGAGAGAACUCGGGUGAAGGAACUAGGCAAAAUGGUGCCGUAACUUCGGGAGAAGGCACGCUGAUGGUAGGUGAAGUGACUUGCUCAUGGAGCUGAAAUCAGUCGAAGAUACCAGCUGGCUGCAACUGUUUAAUAAAAACACAGCACUGUGCAAACACGAAAGUGGACGUAUACGGUGUGACGCCUGCCCGGUGCCGGAAGGUUAAUUGAUGGGGUCAGCCGCAAGGCGAAGCUCUUGAUCGAAGCCCCGGUAAACGGCGGCCGUAACUAUAACGGUCCUAAGGUAGCGAAAUUCCUUGUCGGGUAAGUUCCGACCUGCACGAAUGGCGUAAUGAUGGCCAGGCUGUCUCCACCCGAGACUCAGUGAAAUUGAACUCGCUGUGAAGAUGCAGUGUACCCGCGGCAAGACGGAAAGACCCCGUGAACCUUUACUAUAGCUUGACACUGAACCUUGAGCCUUGAUGUGUAGGAUAGGUGGGAGGCUUUGAAGCGUGGACGCCAGUCUGCGUGGAGCCAACCUUGAAAUACCACCCUUUAAUGUUUGAUGUUCUAACGUGGACCCGUAAUCCGGGUUGCGGACAGUGUCUGGUGGGUAGUUUGACUGGGGCGGUCUCCUCCCAAAGCGUAACGGAGGAGCACGAAGGUUAGCUAAUCCUGGUCGGACAUCAGGAGGUUAGUGCAAAGGCAUAAGCUAGCUUGACUGCGAGAGUGACAGCUCGAGCAGGUGCGAAAGCAGGUCUUAGUGAUCCGGUGGUUCUGAAUGGAAGGGCCAUCGCUCAACGGAUAAAAGGUACUCCGGGGAUAACAGGCUGAUACCGCCCAAGAGUUCAUAUCGACGGCGGUGUUUGGCACCUCGAUGUCGGCUCAUCACAUCCUGGGGCUGAAGUAGGUCCCAAGGGUAUGGCUGUUCGCCAUUUAAAGUGGUACGCGAGCUGGGUUUAGAACGUCGUGAGACAGUUCGGUCCCUAUCUGCCGUGGGCGUUGGAAGAUUGAGAGGGGUUGCUCCUAGUACGAGAGGACCGGAGUGAACGCACCACUGGUGUACGGGUUGUGAUGCCAAUUGCAUUGCCCGGUAGCUAAGUGCGGAAGAGAUAACCGCUGAAAGCAUCUAAGCGGGAAACUUGCCUCGAGAUGAGUCUUCCCUGGGCACUAGAUGCCCCUGAAGGGCCGUUGAAGACGACGACGUAGAUAGGCUGGGUGUGUAAGCGUAGCGAUACGUUGAGCUAACCAGUACUAAUGACCCGAGAGGCUUAACCUUACAACACCGAAGGUGUUU
rnacentral:rRNA from 1 species